UACAGAGGUGGCAAGCGUUGUUCGGAAUUACUGGGCGUAAAGGGCGCGUAGGCGGCCUUCUAAGUCAGACGUGAAAUCCCCGGGCUCAACCCGGGAACUGCGUCCGAUACUGGGAGGCUUGAAUCCGGGAGAGGGAUGUGGAAUUCCAGGUGUAGCGGUGAAAUGCGUAGAUAUCUGGAGGAACACCGGUGGCGAAGGCGGCAUCCUGGACCGGUAGUUGACGCUGAGGCGCGAAAGCCAGGGGAGCAAAGCGGG
rnacentral:rRNA from 1 species